rnacentral:rRNA from 1 species
GUGGAGCGCUUAGAAGUGAGAAUGCCGGUAUGAGUAGCGAAAGACAAGUGAGAAUCUUGUCCACCGAAUGCCUAAGGUUUCCUGAGGAAGGCUCGUCCGCUCAGGGUUAGUCGGGACCUAAGCCGAGGCUGAAAAGCGUAGGCGAUGGCCAACAGGUUGAUAUUCCUGUACCACCUCCCCGCCGUUUGAGUAAUGGGGGGACGCAGUAGGAUAGGGUAAGCGCGCUGCUGGAUAUGCGCGUUCAAGCAGUUAGGCUGAUGAGUAGGCAAAUCCGCUCAUCAUAAAGGCUGAGCUGUGAUGACGAGGGAAUUAUAGUACCGAAGUUCCUGAUUCCACACUGCCAAGAAAAGCCUCUAGCGAGGCGGGAGGUGCCCGUACCGCAAACCGACACAGGUAGGCGAGGAGAGAAUCCUAAGGUGAUCGAGAGAACUCUCGUUAAGGAACUCGGCAAAAUGACCCCGUAACUUCGGGAGAAGGGGUGCUCUGGUAGGGUGUAUAGCCCGAGAGAGCCGCAGUGAAUAGGCCCAGGCGACUGUUUAGCAAAAACACAGGUCUCUGCGAAGCCGCAAGGCGAAGUAUAGGGGCUGACGCCUGCCCGGUGCUGGAAGGUUAAGAGGAGGGGUUAUCCUUUGGGAGAAGCUCUGAAUCGAAGCCCCAGUAAACGGCGGCCGUAACUAUAACGGUCCUAAGGUAGCGAAAUUCCUUGUCGGGUAAGUUCCGACCCGCACGAAAGGCGUAACGAUCUGGGCACUGUCUCAACGAGAGACUCGGUGAAAUUAUAGUACCUGUGAAGAUGCAGGUUACCCGCGACAGGACGGAAAGACCCCGUGGAGCUUUACUGUAGCCUGAUAUUGAAUUUUGGUACAGCUUGUACAGGAUAGGUAGGAGCCUGAGAAGCCGGAGCGCUAGCUUCGGUGGAGGCGUCGGUGGGAUACUACCCUGGCUGUAUUGAAAUUCUAACCCGCGGCCCUGAUCGGGCCGGGAGACAGUGUCAGGUGGGCAGUUUGACUGGGGCGGUCGCCUCCUAAAAUGUAACGGAGGCGCCCAAAGGUUCCCUCAGAAUGGUUGGAAAUCAUUCGUAGAGUGUAAAGGCACAAGGGAGCUUGACUGCGAGACCUACAAGUCGAGCAGGGACGAAAGUCGGGCUUAGUGAUCCGGUGGUUCCGCAUGGAAGGGCCAUCGCUCAACGGAUAAAAGCUACCCCGGGGAUAACAGGCUUAUCUCCCCCAAGAGUCCACAUCGACGGGGAGGUUUGGCACCUCGAUGUCGGCUCAUCGCAUCCUGGGGCUGUAGUCGGUCCCAAGGGUUGGGCUGUUCGCCCAUUAAAGCGGUACGCGAGCUGGGUUCAGAACGUCGUGAGACAGUUCGGUCCCUAUCCGUCGUGGGCGUAGGAAAUUUGAGAGGAGCUGUCCUUAGUACGAGAGGACCGGGAUGGACACACCGCUGGUGUACCAGUUGUCUUGCCAAAGGCAUCGCUGGGUAGCUAUGUGUGGACGGGAUAAGUGCUGAAAGCAUCUAAGCAUGAAGCCCCCCUCAAGAUGAGAUUUCCCAUAGCGCAAGCUAGUAAGAUCCCUGAAAGAUGAUCAGGUUGAUAGGUCAGAGGUGGAAGCGUGGCGACAUGUGUAGCUGACUGAUACUAA